ACAAACUUGGUCAUUUAGAGGAAGUAAAAGUCGUAACAAGGUUUCCGUAGGUGAACCUGCGGAAGGAUCAUCACUGAUUCGCGGGGUCUGUGUGUUCCUGUGUGUGCGCGCUGCGUGUAUAGCGCGCGCGCGCACAUAGCGAGCCGCCCCAAACCAAUCUUGUGUGCACCGUUUCACUGGUCAAAAGGGAUGACGUGUGGUGGCUGUGUGUGUUGGUGGUGGGAGGAGUGCGUGCGUGCGUGCGCGUAUCACAGCAAUGUGUGCCCGCGCGCGCUGCUGCUGCCCCCACCGACUGCACGCGCCCCGUCGUUCUAAAUUUAUACAAUAUAAUCUCUUGGUGUUAACUUUGUCUAACGCGCGUGCAUUACUUUAAAUAACACAUACAACUUUUAACAAUGGAUCUCUUGGCUCUCGCAUCGAUGAAGAACGCAGC
rnacentral:misc_RNA from 1 species